rnacentral:tRNA from 1 species
GUUGUGGCUCAGUGGUAGAGCGCUUGCCUAGCAUGUGUGAGGCACUGGGUUCGAUUCUCGGCACAACA